rnacentral:lncRNA from 1 species
UGGUAAGGUAUUGGUUGUAAAAAUUCCUUUCCUGUGUUGGGGCUUGAUGGCGCUUGCCUUUAAUCCCAGCAUUCAGGAGGCAGAGGCAGAGGCAGGUGGGUCUCUGAGUUUAAGGCCACAAACAAACAAACAAACACUCCUUUUCUAGGUCUGGAGAAAUGGCUCAGUGGUUAAGAGCACUUGCUGGUUUUUCAGACCACUUGAAUUCCAUUGCCAGCAUCCGUAUCAGGCAGCUCACAACCUUCCGUAACUAGCUCCUGGGUCCAACACCUCUGACCUUAGUGUAUCUAUAGGAAUCCAUAGGUGCCAACUCUCAUGACUUCGGAGCAGAGCCAACUGGUGUGUUACACACUUCUUGUUACUGGUCCUUUAAACAAAGCACAAGUUCCUAGGACCUAGUCUUUCAAAUAAAAACACCAUUCUGCUGAAAUGUGGCGUUUCCUCUGUCUUUCAGAGAGUUCUUUCUGUUCAAAAUAGUUUUGUGCCUUUUGGCUUUCUUUAGGUCUGUGACAAAGCCCAGCCAGCCCUCAUGUGGUGAAGGGCUGUACUGCAUCUUUACUUGGAGCUGGGACAAACGCUGCAUGGAUAUUUCAGUACCCAAAUGAAUCCCACUUCUCUACCUCAUUUGAGUAUAAACAGGUUAAAGAAUGCCACCACACUCCGGAGGCUGUCUUUUCAAUGCACAGCAACUUCUGAGUUUUCACCCCUAACUACCAAGAGCGCAAACCUCUACGUUCCCACACCAGCCAGAGACCAACUGUUCCCAAAGACAGUAUAUUUACCUGAACAUUUCAUCAACAAUUCUGAAGAUGGCAGGUUGGCAGGCUGCUUGAGGCUAUAAAAAGAAAAGACCAUGAAACAGAGAAAUACAAGAGGAACCUAUCAAUAACAACUUUGGAUUAUUAGGCAAACGAGAAGUUUGGGGCUGCUCCAGAAAAGUGACACAUUCCAUUAGGUUAAGAAAAGAAAAAGUACUUGGUACCCAGAAAAACCCAUAAAAUGCCAGCAGUGGUUCUCUCUGAGCAUGGGCUGUGGGCAAACUUUAUUUACUUAUUUUGUAUUCCUGUUAUAUACCACAUUUUCUAUAGUAAGCCUGUAUGUAAGAAUAAGUUUCAUGAGUGGUUAAGAAGCACUUUAUGACAACAGGACUCAGGCCCUACUCAGCAGCACACUCCACCUGCUGACCUUCACCAUCCACCUCCCCACCAUCCUCGUCCCAUAGUUGGUAAUGAGCACCUAAGAAUCAGGUGGCCACCACUAUUGGGUACAGUUAGCAGUUAAUGGAAAGUACAGCCACGUGACACCCGGUGAAAGCUCCCCAAUCUUUUCUAGAAUACCCUGUCAGUAGGAUUUAAUGGUUUCAGUCUAUAGAAACUGGCUUCCUGAGGCCUAGGAAGAGCCUGCUUACUUAUAUUUUUAGUCAGAGCUUAAAACUUGAGUUUAUGAUAGAUUUUUUUAAAAAGCCUAUUUGUAUUAUAAAACAUUUCACAAUGGCAUCCAGAGAUAAGUAGGCCAGGCUCCAAUAAAGGGAAUUUCUGGAGUAAUUUUGUGUUUGCUAUGACUAGCUUUGGGAAACAUUUUUUUUCUAGCCACCUUGGAUCCUGUGCAUCACUUUUCUGACUUUUCUGAACCACCCUGAAGAAAGUUGAGUGUUUCUUUGGCUUUCCCACUUAAUAGUUAAUUCUGCCAUGGCAGCUUAACUUGCAACAUGGAGUAUGUGCCAUCUAGUGGCCAUACAUGACCAUUACAGGCUGCCACACAAAUGAUGGGAGGCUGUCCUUUUCAUCAAAGACAUUUAUGAUUUGCACGCUAAUGCUUUCUCCUUUUCAAAUAAAGCAACCCAUGAUCUCUAACCCUUUGUCAACGUACAUCUUUCUCCAAAUGAAGCAAACCUAAAAUCCUCAUAAACUUGUUACCUACUUAAGAAAUUAACAACAGAAGAAUGGCAGGUUAUUUCAUGGCUUUGAUCUCCAAAAGUCAUUUAAUCUGCCUGCUUCUCAGCCUCACUGUAAAUACUAACAGUUGUUCAUGCACUUGGACACAGGCCCAGAGAACACUGAAAGAGUUUCUAUGUGUUCAUAAUGGAAAAAUCCAAAC